GCUCGAGUGGCGAGCGGGUGAGUAACACGUGAGUAACCUGCCCUUGACUUGGGGAUAACUUCAGGAAACUGGGGCUAAUACCGGAUAGGAGCUCCUGCUGCAUGGUGGGGGUUGGAAAGUUUCGGCGGUUGGGGAUGGACUCGCGGCUUAUCAGCUUGUUGGUGGGGUAGUGGCUUACCAAGGCUUUGACGGGUAGCCGGCCUGAGAGGGUGACCGGCCACAUUGGGACUGAGAUACGGCCCAG
rnacentral:rRNA from 1 species